rnacentral:rRNA from 1 species
UACGGGGGGAGCAAGCGUUGUUCGGAUUUACUGGGCGUAAAGGGCGCGUAGGCGGUCAGCACAAGUCAGUUGUGAAAUCUCCGGGCUUAACUCGGAAAGGUCAACUGAUACUGUGCGACUAGAGUGCAGAAGGGGCAACUGGAAUUCUCGGUGUAGCGGUGGAAUGCGUAGAGAUCCGGAGGAAUACCUGAGGCGAAGGCGGCCAGCUGGGCUUGAUCUGACGCUGAGGUGCGAAAGCGUGGGGAGCGAACAGG